UACGAGGGGGGCAAGCGUUGUUCGGAAUUAUUGGGCGUAAAGGGUGCGUAGGCGGUCUGACAAGUCUGAUGUGAAAUCUAUGGGCUCAACUCAUAGUCUGCAUCGGAAACUGCCGGGCUUGAGUGUGGGAGAGGUGAGUGGAAUUCCUGGUGUAGCGGUGAAAUGCGUAGAUAUCAGGAGGAACACCUGUGGCGAAAGCGGCUCACUGGACCAUAACUGACGCUGAUGCACGAAAGCUAGGGGAGCAAACAGG
rnacentral:rRNA from 1 species